rnacentral:rRNA from 1 species
UGGGGAAUAUUGCACAAUGGGCGCAAGCCUGAUGCAGCCAUGCCGCGUGUAUGAAGAAGGCCUUCGGGUUGUAAAGUACUUUCAGCGGGGAGGAAGGCGUUGUGGUUAAUAACCACAGCGAUUGACGUUACCCGCAGAAGAAGCACCGGCUAACUCCGUGCCAGCAGCCGCGGUAAUACGGAGGGUGCAAGCGUUAAUCGGAAUUACUGGGCGUAAAGCGCACGCAGGCGGUCUGUUAAGUCAGAUGUGAAAUCCCCGGGCUCAACCUGGGAACUGCAUUUGAAACUGGCAGGCUUGAGUCUCGUAGAGGGGGGUAGAAUUCCAGGUGUAGCGGUGAAAUGCGUAGAGAUCUGGAGGAAUACCGGUGGCGAAGGCGGCCCCCUGGACAAAGACUGACGCUCAGGUGCGAAAGCGUGGGGAGCAAACA